rnacentral:rRNA from 1 species
AACGAACGCUGGCGGCAUGCCUAACACAUGCAAGUCGAACGAGACCUUCGGGGCUAGUGGCGCACGGGAGCGUAACGCGUGGGAACCUGCCCUUAGGUUCGGAAUAACUCCCCGAAAGGGGUGCUAAUACCGGAUAAUGUCUUCGGACCAAAGAUGGAUCGCCUCUGGAUGGGCCCGCGUUGGAUUAGCUAGUUGGUAGAGUAAAAGCCUACCAAGGCGACGAUCCAUAGCUGGUCUGAGAGGAUGAUCAGCCACACUGGGACUGAGACACGGCACAGACUCCUACGGGAGGCAGCAGUAGGGAAUAUUGGACAAUGGGCGAAAGCCUGAUCAAGCAAUGCCGCGUGAGUGAUGAAGGCCUUAGGGUUGUAAAGCUCUUUUACCCGGGAUGAUAAUGACAGUACCGGGAGAAUAAGCCCCGGCUAACUCCGUG